rnacentral:rRNA from 1 species
GCACGAGGUGUAAGCGCAGUAAUGUGUUAAUCUGACGUGUACUAAUCGGUCGAGGGCUUAACCAA